AUUCUUUGUGAGGAUCAAUCCAGAUGUUGGUACCAAAUGCACAGCCAAAGUCGGUACAAGCCGCAAGACGGGAAGUCUUGUCAAGAGGAAAGUAGUCAGUGUCAACUUCCAGAUCACCACCUUCUUCCAACAACUUGCUGAAUUUGAAUGGAAGACUUCCAACUAGUUCAGCUUCCACAAGAUGGAUCCCACUGAUUUUGUUUGACGAAUGGAAUAAAAGUUCUUCUGAUG